rnacentral:tRNA from 1 species
ACCUGGCUGGUUCAGUCAGUAGAGUGUGGGACUCUUGAUCUCAGGAUUGUGGGUUCAAGCCCCACGUUGGGUA